UACGUAGGGAGCAAGCGUUGUCCGGAUUGACUGGGCGUAAAGCGCACGCAGGCGGUCGCGCGCGUGGGGUGUGAAAUCUGGCCGCUUAACGGCCAGGCGCCAUCCCAUACGGCGCGACUGGAGUGAUGCAGAGGUCGAUGGAAUUGCCGGUGUAGUGGUGAAAUGCGUAGAGAUCGGCAGGAACACCCAGGGGGAAACCAGUCGACUGGGCAUCUACUGACGCUGAGGUGCGAGAGCGUGGGGAGCGAACCGG
rnacentral:rRNA from 1 species